rnacentral:tRNA from 1 species
GGUCCAUUAGCUUAGUUGGUAGAGCACCUGACUCUUAAUCAGGGGGUCCCGCGUUCGAGUCGCGGAUGGAUCACCA